rnacentral:rRNA from 1 species
UACGGGGGGGGCAAGCGUUGUUCGGAAUUACUGGGCGUAAAGGGCUCGUAGGCGGCCAACUAAGUCAGACGUGAAAUCCCUCGGCUUAACCGGGGAACUGCGUCUGAUACUGGAUGGCUAGAGUUUGGGAGAGGGAUGCGGAAUUCCAGGUGUAGCGGUGAAAUGCGUAGAUAUCAGGAGGAACACCGGUGGCGAAGGCGGCUACCUGAACAGAAACUGACGCUGAGGCACGAAAGCUAGGGGAGCAAACAGG